rnacentral:lncRNA from 1 species
AUGGCUGAUUGAUGAUUAAGAAUCAUUCAAGAAUAAUUUGGUCAAAUCGAUUGACAAAUUAUCCUAAGCAAAAGUUGCAUUAAAAUAAUUAUUGAAUUAUUGGAGGGUUAAUUAGUAAUUGGAUUACUAAUAAAUUCAAUUUGAUUGAAUUAUUGGACUUUAAUUAAGCCAAAUUGAAUUAGAUUCAAUUUGGACUAAAUUAGGGUUUGACCUAAUUCAAUCGGGUUCGACCCGAGCCGAUUGGGCAUAACCUAAUUGAUCGGACUUAACCCAAUUGGAUUGGGAUUGACUCAAGUCAAUUAAGAGUCCUUAUUUGAUGAGGAUUAAGAGUCCAAAUAAUCAAAAUUUAUUAUGGAGAAGAAUUCCUAAAAUUUAGGACCCUAGCUUUCUUUCUUGGAAAAGAAAGACACCUCAUCCUUAUCCCU